CCCACUGGGAAGCCUGCCCUGUGUCAGACAUUGUCAGACACACCCACGCGGCACCCCUCCCAGCUGACAAGCAGCCUGCGAGCUGUCUCUCCUCGCCUGAGGACAGCAGAGCCCUUUCACUUUCCCUCUGGAGCCACCCGCACCUGGGCUGCUGGGCUCAGCCUGCUCCCUGGAGUGUAGCCCACGCGUCCGUAUCUCUGUCCUGCCGACCAGCCGACCUGCCCAAAACCUGGGUGGGCAGGUCAGAGCUGCACCGAUCCCAAGGUUAAGGUUCACUCCUGGCCCCCCGCCCCCGCCAUCCAGCCGUCCAGUACUAAAGCGACCCACAGCCAUCGGCACCCCUUGGACCUUGUCAUGACCUCUACUACUGGACCUUGGAAACCUGAAACCAUCAGAUUUGUACCAAUGGCUCCCUGACCGGAUCCUGCCGUUCAAGGCCUCCUAGCCCUCCGUGCAGGGAACAGCGGUCCCGACGGGCACUGUAGAGUCAGAGCUCCAACCGCAGCCCCCACCCGUCUGAGCGGUGAGGGAACCACUCUGAGACUGCUCCUGUCUCAGGAAAACGGAGAUAAUAAUACCCAUUGCACCAGAUUACGGUAAGCAAAUGAAGUAAUGGUUAAAAAAAAAAAAAAAAGGCUUAGUGCAGAAUGUGGUGUCUCAGGAAACAGUGGUGACGGUAAUAAUGACCCUAAUGUCCCUAAAUGAUCUCAUGCACCCUCAACAUUGCAGCUCCUACCCAUGGUCUGAUGGCUCCCAAGUGUGUAUCUUUUGUGCUGACGUCUCCUCUGUGUUCCGGGCCGGUAGCAACGUUUAUAAAACAGCGCUCAUCACUUUCCUCCUCAAAAUUGUUCCUCGUCCCACCUUGCCAUUCACGUGAAUUGUACCAAAGUCCACCCAGUUCGUGGCCAGGUCGGGGAGCAAGGAAAGCGAAACAAAACAGGAUAAGGAAACCAAAACAAAACAAAACAACAAGACAAGACAAACCAAACGACAAAUAGGAAGCAAAUUUAGUUCACUCAUUGAAGAACUGGUCGAAAUAGGCACAAAAGACGGUUUAGGGGCAACUGGGGGAAUUUUCCUGCGGACGAGGUGCUAGAUUAUAUGUAGGAAUUAUUGUCAAUUGUCUCGUAUAUGCUGGUUGUAGUAGAGUGGUCAUACAGGAGGCUGUCCUCGUCCCUGGAAGAUGCAGGCUGGGGGCGCCUCGGGGGCUCAUUCGUUUACGCGACUGACUCUUGAUCUUGGCUCCAGUCAUGAUCUCACAGUUUGUGAUAUCGAGCCUUACACUGGGCUCUGGGCUGAUAGGGUGGAGCCUGCUUGGGAUUUGUCCCUCUCCCUCUCUCUCUGCCCCUCCCCCGAUCGUGCUUGGUCUUACUCUCAAAAUAAAUAAAUACUAAAAAAUAAUAAUAAAAAGAUACAGGCUGAAGUGUUUGGGGAUGAAAUAUUUCGAUGUCUGCAAAUCUACUUUCAAAUGGGUCAGAAAAAAUGUGCACACACACACACACACACACGUAUGUAUUCUCACACACAUACAGAAAUGCGAAAAGCAAAUGGGCCAAAUCGUCAUAAACUGUGGAAUCCGAGCGGUGAAUGCACGGGCAUUCAUUAUCGUAAGUUCAACUUUUGCUGUGCGCUUGAACUUUUCCAUAAUUAAGAGUUGGGGUAAAAAGCAGAAUAAAGCUGUCUGAAGUGAAAGCCUGUGCUGGGGCUGGAAUAGGUCCCCAGGGGACCGAGACAUUUCUUCUUCAUUAAACAUACUGUAGUUUUCACCUAGCAGCUAAAGAGCAGACUUGUAUUUAUGUCUUGCUGACCUAUCUGAUCUAAACCUUCGUUUUCUUUCUCGCCCCUCAUGCUGUUCCGUAACUCUGCCGGUCCCCGUCUACACAGGGGCGAAGGGCUUGGGUUUC